rnacentral:lncRNA from 1 species
AGCCUCCGCCCUGUUCCUCCUAGAAUUUGGGUGGGUGCAGGAACCUGGGCAAUGUCCCUGCGUGGCUUUGAGAGACACGAAGCCUGCCACGAAGUGGCAGGGCGGGGGAGGGAACGUACCCCAACCCGUAGGCAGUCACAGAGCAAAUGCCGUCGGGUGGUAUGAAGCCAGCUUCCAGAGCUAAGAGUGCAUCACACAGGCACGUGUAUGCACUCACAUAAGUGCAAUUAUCAGACUUUGCAAAAAAAGUGCAUUGCCCCUUAGGCCGAGUCCGAUGGCUGACGCCUGUAAUCCCAGCACUUUGGGAGGCCGAGGCAGGCGGAUCACGAGGUCAGGAGAUUGAGACGAUCCUGGCCAACGUGGUGAAACCCCGUCUCUACUAAAAAUACAAAAAUUAGCCAGGCGUGGUGGCGGGCGCCUGUAGUCCCAGCUACAUGGGAGGCUGAGGCAGGAGAAUCGCUUGCACCCGGGAGGCGGAGGUUGCAGUGAGCCGAGAUCGCGCCACUGCACUCCAGCCUGGGCGACAAGAGCAAAAACUCCGUCUCAAAAAAAAAAAAAAAAAAAUGUGCAUUGACCCACUUGUGCAAAACAAGUCGUUCGAAUCGUGCCAGCACUACCUCCAGCAAAAAUGUUCCAAAUGAUAGAACCAACUUCAUUUUUGUUUUGAGUAUCUGGGACUGACCCAUGUCACUUUCACCCAAUGCAGUGUUGUGAUGCGUUGCGAAUGCAAUGUGGCCUUGAUUGUUUUGUAAGUCCAUUUGUAUUUCUUGGUUUUCCAUCUGUGUGUCUCAGUGGCAUUUUUUUUUCAAGAGCACUUUAGGAUUAUCUUUCACAGGCCCAAAGACAGAUCAAAUUUCGCUUUUUUUUUUUUUAUUUUUCCUGAGACGGAGUCUCAACUGUUUUCGCCCAGGCUGGAGUGCAAUGGCGUGAUCUCGGCUCACUGCAACCUCCACCUCCCGGGUUCAAGCGAUUCUCCUGCCUCAGCCUCCUGAGUAGCUGGGAUUACAGACACCCACCACCACGCCCGGUUAAUUUUGUUUUGUUUUGUUUUGUUUUUCCUUUUGAGACGGAGUCUCGCUCUGUCGACCAUGCUGGAGUGCAGUGGCGCGAUCUCAGCUCACUGCAAGCUCAGCCGCCUGGGAUCAUGCUAUUCUCCUGCCUCAGCCUCCCGAAUAGCUGGGACUACAGGCACCUGCCACCACGCCUGGCUAAUUUUUUUCUAUUUUUAGUAGAGACGAGGUUUCACCGUGUUAGCCAGGGUGGUCUCGAUCUCUUGACCUCGUGAUACGCCCGUCCGGGGAUUCCCA